rnacentral:sRNA from 1 species
UAAGUGAUGUUGAAGCCUAUCGGAUGCU